UUACACUACCAGCAGCGUGAUUGGCAGCUAUUGUUGGGCUUUGCCUGACAAUGAAAAGGCGUGCCACAGUCACAGGUGGCCUACAAACCAGCUAUAGGUCAUCGAUGAAGUCAUCUGAAGAAGUUCUGCCAUAGUUGCUACUAUCGCUUCUAUUCCACAUCUUGAGACUUGUCCAAUAAUCUCCCGAGUGACAGAUGGGCAGUUACUGAAUCUAUAUACAGUAUUAAAUUAUCUCCUGAAGGUCUAAAUAUUUAGACCCAGCCAACCUUCCAAAGAAUGAGAACAGGCUUACCAUUUUCACUCCUAGCAGGGUUCCUAUAAAACAGAAGAAUUUGUUCAGCAGAAACGGCUAGACAGAAGAUAUGGUAAUAUGUAGGAAAAAAGAAAAUAACUGAGUAGCAAAUAACACCAGUCUUCUUUGGAAAAAAAAUUAAAAAGAGACUGUCUCCAAGGAGAAUUGAGUGGCAAGAAGAGAGAUGACAGGUGAAUUCUAAGAGAGUUGAAAUUAUCCAGGGUGCAAAGUUACAGUCAAACAGACAGACUUGAAAGUUCUUAGAAAUAGCACAUUUUCACCUAGGGACUUGUUAUACAUUCCCCUGAGAGUCUUGUAGAUAGAACAAAAAAACCCACCCUAAAUCAGUGCGUAAGAUAGAUUGUAGAUA